ACAGUUUCUAGAAUCCUAUGGUUUCUUGGAUUAUCUGGAGAGCGGUCUAGGUUCUGACGAAAACAGUGAUAAUCUUCUCGACAAAUUACAAGAUGCCCUAGGAAGAGGACAAAAUCCUUUUCUCAAGUUGUCUUGGAGAAGGCCCUAUCUGCACCGGUUGUUGUUGCUUCACCUUCUGCAGUUUGACUUGUUGCUUCAUAUAAUUGGAAUUAUCAUGGUAGCUGGACUUUGAUUGACACCCUUUGAUAUGGACAACUUGUGCCUGCUUGGGCCGCCUGAUUUGGCAAGGCUCUUGUUAAGACAAUUUCUUGUUUAUGGUAAACUUGGUUUGUGCACCUCCAUUGUUACAGAACAUGGGUCAAUCUUAUUUCGGAGCCUGAUUCUUGGAGCAACGCUGUUGUCUGUAUUGGGGAGAUAACUGCCUCUGCUGCAAAAAGAUUAGGACUGAGAAAUGUGUAUUUCCCAAUGCAGCCUGGACUUGAUGGAUGGGUCGGCAGCAUCCUUGAAGCCUUAAGAGAUCAUGACAGUUAGGAUUGAAAG